GAUUGCAGAUCCCGUGACCAUCGAGUUUUUGAACGCAAGUUGCGCCCGAAGCCGUCUCGGCGGUGGAGGGCACGUCUGCCUGGGUGUCAAGAAACGUCGCCAAACGUCCCUCUCCGCACCCUCCCGCCCGAGGGGGGAAGCAUCGAGGGGACGGGCGGACAUUGGCCUCCCGUGCGCGGUUGCUCGCGGUUGGCCCAAAAGAGAGUACCCCGGCGAGGCAGCCACGACGUGCGGUGGCAGAAAGCGUAUGCUCUCCUCGAACACCGUCGUGGGCCGACCUCGCGGGGCGUGAAAGACUAAGGCCCCGAUGCGAAGUCGUUUUUCGCGAAGCGACCCCAGGUCAGGCGGGAGCACCCGCUGAGUUUAAGCAUAUCAAUAAGCGGAGGAA
rnacentral:rRNA from 2 species